rnacentral:rRNA from 1 species
AUUACUUUUGGUAGCAAUACCGAAAGUGAUUCAGUGGCGAACGGGUGCUUAACACGUGGGCAACCUACCGAGAAGUGGGGGAUAGCUCGCCGAAAGGCGAAUUAAUACCGCAUGUGAUCAGCGGAGACAUCUUCGCGAAAUCAAAGCCGGGGCAACCUGGCGCUUUUUGUGGGGCCCGCGGCCUAUCAGCUUGUUGGUGAGGUAACGGCUUACCAAGGCUUUGACGGGUAGCUGGUCUGAGAGGACGACCAGCCACACUGGGACUGAGACACGGCCCAGACACCUACGGGUGGCAGCAGUCGAGAAUUUUUGACAAUGGGGGAAACCCUGAUCGAGCGACGCCGCGUGGAGGAUGAAGGUCUUCGGGUUGUAAACUCCUGUCAUUUGGGAACAAUGGUUACGCGUUAACUGCGCGUGACUUGAUAGUACCAGAAGAGGAAGAGACGGCUAACUCUGUGCCAGCAGCCGCGGUAAUACAGAGGUCUCAAGCGUUGUUCGGAUUCAUUGGGCGUAAAGGGUGCGUAGGCGGCGCGGUAAGUCGGGUGUGAAAUCUCGGAGCUUAACUCCGAAACUGCAUUCGAUACUGCCGUGCUUGAGGACUGGAGAGGAGACUGGAAUUUACGGUGUAGCAGUGAAAUGCGUAGAUAUCGUAAGGAAGACCAGUGGCGAAGGCGGGUCUCUGGACAGUUCCUGACGCUGAGGCACGAAGGCCAGGGGAGCAAACGGGAUUAGAUACCCCGGUAGUCCUGGCAGUAAACGGUGCACGUUUGGUGUGGGGAGGAUUCGACCCCUUCUGCGCCGGAGCUAACGCG